CUUCCAUCCACACCUCCUCAAUUGUUCCCAUAAACUGUGACAAACUUCAGACGUUGCCACACAACUCCAGGAAGGGUGGAAUGAAGACUUCCCUGUAGCCUGAGGCAUAGUGACCUAGACCUUCUCCACAACCACUAAACAAUAAGACAAAGAAACCAAAACCCAAGAAAGAUCUGGGAAGGUCAGAACACAAUGGAUCUUGCCAAUAACAGAGGCCUAAACCUACUUCUUAACUUUGUUCUUAUCAUCAUGGUUCUCCUCCUUAUGUUCAUUCUGGUAAAGCUACUGUGAGCUCCUAUGACUGGAUAUCUUACCAUGACCGGUCUAACCCACCAAGGAGGGUAUAACCCAUAUGGGACCUAAAAUUACAAGGAUACUUCUUUCAGACGGCUUCUCAUUUCUGACAACUGUGAUGACCUUGGGCCUUUUACCAUCCACCAGUCUGGUGGAGAUCCUCACGAGCAAACAAUGAAGAUUUGCAUUGAUAUACAUGACCAUAACUCUGCUGUCAUGGAUGCCAUGCUGGAACAUCUGUUGGUACUGGCAACAAGGAUUGGACAGACCUGAAUGGUCUACAAUAACACAAAACCCUUACCUAUUCCUCAAAAAUGGUCCAAAUAAUUGAGAAGCUUAGAAGAAAACCCUGGAAAGAACUGCUUGUAUAUAUGCCUGUAACCUUGAGCCGUUUCAAGAAAGCAGAAUGUGUAAUAACCUUAGACCUAGGUAUUCCUUCACAGGUUAGAGGGCACUAGUACUAAGGCAUGCAAGAAAGCACUGAUUUCUAGACAGUUACCUGCACUUUUGUAUAACUUUUUCUGAAUCCACUUCUAUAACAAGAAGUAUGCCAUCUAUAAGUUAAUAAAAUACACUAAAUAUA